UUCCUUUUCUCUGGUCAAUGGUAUCCCCAUCCUUGGUACCUACCAUUAAAUUUCUUUCUUUCUUUUUUUUCUCCCUCCCCACUUCCCUCCUUUCUUUUCUUUCUGUAGAGAUGGAGUCUUGCUGUGCUGCUGAGGAUGGAGAGCAGUAGCUAUUCACAGCCUUGAUCACUGCGCAAUGCAGCCAUGAACUCCUGGGCCCAAGCAAUCCUCCUGCCUCAGCCUCCUGGGAAGCUAGGAUUACAGGUGCAUGCCACUGUACCCAGCUGUCAUUACAGCUUCUGUUGGUUAUUGCUGAUAUAUACAAUUUUUUGUUUCUCUUACAGCAAACACUCUGAUUCCUGUUACUGGCUACAAUAAAUUUUCAGUUCCUUCAUAUUUUCUAAGUACAUAAUCAAGUCAUUUGCAAAACUAUUUUUGUUUUUUCUUCUCAAUGUUUAUACGUUUUAAUUCUUUUUAUUGCUUAGUGCAUUGGCCAGGACUUCUAAAAUAAAAUGGAAUAAUACAAAUGUUUUCUGUUUUGUUUUUUGUAAACUACCUAGUUUCAAGUCCAUGCUCUAGGUAUUCUGAAUCAGAGAGAAUAACGUAAGUUUUAACAAGCAUUUUCUUUCUGAUUUUGAUUUUUUUUUUUUUUUUUUUUGAGACGGAGUUUCGCUCUUGUUGCCCAGUGCAAUGGCGUGAUCUCGGCUCACCGCAACCUCCGCCUUCCGGGUUCAAGCAAUUCUCCUGCCUGAGCCUCCUGAGUAGCUGGGUUUACAGACAUGUGCCACCAUGCCUGGCUAAUUUUGUAUUUUUAGUAGAGACAGGGUUUCUCCAUGUUGGCCAGGCUGGUCUUGAACUCCCAACCUCAGGUGAUCCGCCCGCCUUGGCCUCCCAAAGUGCAGG
rnacentral:lncRNA from 1 species